CCGCCUUUAAAGGCACUCACUGGGCCUCUUGCUAAUGAGGCAUUGAGCCAUCAAGAAGGGCAGAGUACAAAUACCGCUUUUGGGUGAGGUGGCAGCAUGUUGUGUUAUUUUGCUUCAAUUGGUGGUGUGAAAAGA
rnacentral:snoRNA from 1 species